rnacentral:misc_RNA from 1 species
CUGCGGAAGGAUCAUUGUCGAGUCCCGCGAGAGCAGAACGACCCGCGAACCUGUUUACUCAACGUCGGGAGGGGGGCGGCCYUUCCCGUGCCCYUUCCCGCGGCGGGAGAGCGCGGCCGCGSCCCCUCGUGGGAAGCGCUGCGUUCCCCUGCGAAAAAUAACCAAACACCGGCGCGGGACGCGCCAAGGAAAAGAAACGAACGAGCGCGCCCCCGACCCCCGCAACGGCGGCGAGGGGGCGUCGCGAGCUUCGCUCACUACGCAAAACGACUCUCGGCAACGGAUAUCUCGGCUCUCGCAUCGAUGAAGAACGUAGCGAAAUGCGAUACUUGGUGUGAAUUGCAGAAUCCCGUGAACCAUCGAGUCUUUGAACGCAAGUUGCGCCCGAAGCCAUUCGGCCGAGGGCACGUCUGCCUGGGCGUCACGCACGCCGUCGCCCCCCGCCCGUGCCGUCCCCUCGGGGGCGCGUGCGUGUGCGGUGGGGCGGAAAUUGGCCCCCCGUGCCCGCGAGGUGCGGUCGGCUGAAAAAGAGGGAUCCCGGUGGCAGCGGUCACGGCCGGUGGUGGUUGUCAAACCUCAGCGUGUCGGCGAGUGCCCUUCCACCGAUUGGAGUGCCCAACGUGACCCUCGAGCGAUGCCCCAGGGC